UUUGGUUAAGUUAGAAAGGGCGCACGGUGGAUGCCUUGACACUAGGAGUCGAUGAAGGACGGGACUAACGCCGAUAUGCUUCGGGGAGCUGUAAGUAAGCUUUGAUCCGAAGAUUUCCGAAUGGGGAAACCCACCAUACGUAAUGGUAUGGUAUCCUUAUCUGAAUACAUAGGGUAAGGAAGACAGACCCAGGGAACUGAAACAUCUAAGUACCUGGAGGAAGAGAAAGCAAAUGCGAUUUCCUGAGUAGCGGCGAGCGAAACGGAACAUAGCCCAAACCAAGAGGCUUGCCUCUUGGGGUUGUAGGACAUUCUAUACGGAGUUACAAAGGAACGAGGUAGACGAAGCGACCUGGAAAGGUCCGUCGUAGAGGGUAACAACCCCGUAGUCGAAACUUCGUUCUCUCUUGAAUGUAUCCUGAGUACGGCGGAACACGUGAAAUUCCGUCGGAAUCUGGGAGGACCAUCUCCCAAGGCUAAAUACUCCCUAGUGAUCGAUAGUGAACCAGUACCGUGAGGGAAAGGUGAAAAGCACCCCGGAAGGGGAGUGAAAGAGAUCCUGAAACCGUGUGCCUACAAAUAGUCAGAGCCCGUUAACGGGUGAUGGCGUGCCUUUUGUAGAAUGAACCGGCGAGUUACGAUCCCGUGCGAGGUUAAGCUGAAGAGGCGGAGCCGCAGCGAAAGCGAGUCUGAAUAGGGCGUUUAGUACGUGGUCGUAGACCCGAAACCAGGUGAUCUACCCAUGUCCAGGGUGAAGUUCAGGUAACACUGAAUGGAGGCCCGAACCCACGCACGUUGAAAAGUGCGGGGAUGAGGUGUGGGUAGCGGAGAAAUUCCAAUCGAACCUGGAGAUAGCUGGUUCUCCCCGAAAUAGCUUUAGGGCUAGCCUUAAGUGUAAGAGUCUUGGAGGUAGAGCACUGAUUGGACUAGGGGUCCUCAUCGGAUUACCGAAUUCAGUCAAACUCCGAAUGCCAAUGACUUAUCCUUAGGAGUCAGACUGCGAGUGAUAAGAUCCGUAGUCAAAAGGGAAACAGCCCAGACCGCCAGCUAAGGUCCCAAAGUGUGUAUUAAGUGGAAAAGGAUGUGGAGUUGCUUAGACAACUAGGAUGUUGGCUUAGAAGCAGCCACCAUUUAAAGAGUGCGUAAUAGCUCACUAGUCGAGUGACUCUGCGCCGAAAAUGUACCGGGGCUAAAUACACCACCGAAGCUGCGGAUUGAUACCAAUGGUAUCAGUGGUAGGGGAGCGUUCUAAGGACAGUGAAGUCAGACCGGAAGGACUGGUGGAGUGCUUAGAAGUGAGAAUGCCGGUAUGAGUAGCGAAAGACGGGUGAGAAUCCCGUCCACCGAAUGCCUAAGGUUUCCUGAGGAAGGCUCGUCCGCUCAGGGUUAGUCAGGACCUAAGCCGAGGCCGACAGGCGUAGGCGAUGGACAACAGGUUGAUAUUCCUGUACCACCUCUUUAUCGUUUGAGCAAUGGAGGGACGCAGAAGGAUAGAAGAAGCGUGCGAUUGGUUGUGCACGUCCAAGCAGUUAGGCUGAUAAGUAGGCAAAUCCGCUUAUCGUAAAGGCUGAGCUGUGAUGGGGAAGCUCCUUAUGGAGCGAAGUCUUUGAUUCCCCGCUGCCAAGAAAAGCUUCUAGCGAGAUAAAAGGUGCCUGUACCGCAAACCGACACAGGUAGGCGAGGAGAGAAUCCUAAGGUGUGCGAGAGAACUCUGGUUAAGGAACUCGGCAAAAUGACCCCGUAACUUCGGGAGAAGGGGUGCUUUCUUAACGGAAAGCCGCAGUGAAUAGGCCCAAGCGACUGUUUAGCAAAAACACAGCUCUCUGCGAAGCCGUAAGGCGAAGUAUAGGGGGUGACACCUGCCCGGUGCUGGAAGGUUAAGGAGAGGGGUUAGCGUAAGCGAAGCUCUGAACUGAAGCCCCAGUAAACGGCGGCCGUAACUAUAACGGUCCUAAGGUAGCGAAAUUCCUUGUCGGGUAAGUUCCGACCCGCACGAAAGGUGUAACGAUUUGGGCACUGUCUCAACCAGAGACUCGGUGAAAUUAUAGUACCUGUGAAGAUGCAGGUUACCCGCGACAGGACGGAAAGACCCCGUGGAGCUUUACUGUAGCCUGAUAUUGAAUUUUGGUACAGUUUGUACAGGAUAGGCGGGAGCCAUUGAAACCGGAGCGCUAGCUUCGGUGGAGGCGCUGGUGGGAUACCGCCCUGACUGUAUUGAAAUUCUAACCUACGGGUCUUAUCGACCCGGGAGACAGUGUCAGGUGGGCAGUUUGACUGGGGCGGUCGCCUCCUAAAGUGUAACGGAGGCGCCCAAAGGUUCCCUCAGAAUGGUUGGAAAUCAUUCGUAGAGUGCAAAGGCAUAAGGGAGCUUGACUGCGAGACCUACAAGUCGAGCAGGGACGAAAGUCGGGCUUAGUGAUCCGGUGGUUCCGCAUGGAAGGGCCAUCGCUCAACGGAUAAAAGCUACCCCGGGGAUAACAGGCUUAUCUCCCCCAAGAGUCCACAUCGACGGGGAGGUUUGGCACCUCGAUGUCGGCUCAUCGCAUCCUGGGGCUGUAGUCGGUCCCAAGGGUUGGGCUGUUCGCCCAUUAAAGCGGUACGCGAGCUGGGUUCAGAACGUCGUGAGACAGUUCGGUCCCUAUCCGUCGUGGGCGUAGGAAAUUUGAGAGGAGCUGUCCUUAGUACGAGAGGACCGGGAUGGACGCACCGCUGGUGUACCAGUUGUUCUGCCAAGGGCAUAGCUGGGUAGCUAUGUGCGGAAGGGAUAAGUGCUGAAAGCAUCUAAGCAUGAAGCCCCCCUCAAGAUGAGAUUUCCCAUAGUGUAAGCUAGUAAGAUCCCUGAAAGAUGAUCAGGUUGAUAGGUUCGAGGUGGAAGCAUGGUGACAUGUGGAGCUGACGAAUACUAAUAGAUCGAGGACUUAACCAUAUAA
rnacentral:rRNA from 1 species